AAAUUUUAAAAACCAAGUGAUUGGUGUUUUUCACACCCGUGAACCUGCAGGGGGAUCUCUGCAGCCCCAUUGUUAUAUGUUAUGGAAUUAUUCGUGAUUAUGUAAAAUAUACAUUAAUAAGUUGUGGUCGUACAAAAAGGUUCUUAAAGGUUUAAAAGACCACAAGCUGCAGCCGGGAAAAGAUUGCAAAACCACAGAUUGCAGGAGAAAGAAAAUCCUAGUUUACAAACGAAAAUUUCGACCAUACCCGCCGGAAUUGCGCACAAAAAUUCGGGAAUUUCGCCCAGAGCUGCCCGAAUCCCGGCGGGGGCGGGUCCCGGCCCCUCGCAGCCCUCACCUGCACAGGUCUUACACUGCAUGCUGAGCAACACAUUUGAUUUGCUUUCUCUUUGCUCUGUUUUUUUUUUAAGAGCUAACACCAGUGGGUCAGAAGGAACUCUGAACCCAGUGACUCUGACAUUUUGGGUGAUUCUUGGAGGUGAAAAAACAUAUUAGCAUACAAGACCUCACCUUAUUUGCUUUCCUGUCUUAAAACAGCAUUGGUUGCAAUAAGGUGUUAUAAAUCCUUUAGUUUUCUGAGCUGCCCUUAUUGGAGGCUUUCUGGGAAUCUCUUUGCUUUGGUUAGUUUUUAUUGCUUAUACUAUUUUGUUUCUACCCAAGCCUCAUGGUCUUUUUUCAGUUUUUCUCACACACAGACUUUUCAGGUCGCAGGUAUGAGAUGCGAUCAUUUACACAUAAGCUUUAAGAUCUCAGGUUCUGAAUUGGCUUGAUUAGGAGCCUUCAAUUUACACUUGGGGCAUGGAACAGCAAUACUAGCCUUUCUCACAAACUCUGCAUUGUAAUAGUACUCAUACAAGGUGCCAGCCUCUUAAUGCACCAAAAACUCCCGGGAAUUGCCUGCAGGCUAUUCCGUUUAUCACUUUGGCAUUUUUCCUUUAUUUAACCCCUCUUUUACAAAAUCUCAGUCUUUUCUAGUUCUCUUCUCGCACAAUCUAAUUAAAGCAUUGUUUCUACUGACACUUAUUUCGUUGCCCUGCAAAAGGCUGUGCCUGUUACAGCAAAAACUCUGAUAUGCUCACAAACACAGAACCCUGUCCUUAUCUCAAAUUCAAGGAGAGUCAGGGCUUAAGUUGUUGUGAGGGAGGAAUUCUUGGAAUUCCUUUGAUUUGUUUUACUACAGUUAAACAUAAAUCAUUAUAGUGUAGCUCUUCUGCAUAAAAUGCUACACUUGUUGCAAAAAAUAUCUUAAAAUCUCUAUAAAUGCAACUAUAUAAUCUCGAGAAUUAAAAUACUAUAAUGUGGGGGAAGAAUCACACAAACUCACUGGGAAACUCACUGGUGGUAUCUCUUAAAGUGUCCCCUUUUCUCAACACAGCACAGCAUAACAGCACACAGUAAAAUUCCAGGAAUCCAAGUCCGAACCACUGGGGCAGAGGAACCCCCCCAGUUCGUCUAGCCACUGUUCAAAUGCACACAAAUCACCGCCUUUAAACACAGUGAACGUCCUCAGCCCCGUUUCUCCGCUUGUUUCCCUUCCCCGCGGGCACUCCCUGCCCGCACAGCCGAUCCCAGCCGGGCCUCGGUUCUCACUCGGCCGCUUCAGACACGAGUGAACUUCUCCCCCCGCCCGCAGGUGCACUCCCUCGCUCCUGGUUCACCCUUCAUACAGCAGCACCCGCACGGCUGCAAACACAUGAACCGCACAGUGUCGGGCACCACCAGCACACAAAGCUCGGGUUCACUCGGCUCAGCCCAGAGCCGCUUGCGGCCGCUCUAUCGGAGCAGUGACCUCGUCUGCAGCCCAGCGCCCGAUCGGCCGGGCUGCCCCAGGCCCAGGAGCGAGGCCGGGCCCUGCCGGCUCUGAGGGACUGCCCAGCAGUGCUGCUCUGGCACCCCAGGGCCCUCUCAGUCCGUCCCUUUAUCGCACACCAGCGCUCCUUGGCUGUCUCCGCAGGUGGCAAGCGAGGCAGAGCGGAGCCCCUCCAGGGAAAUUCCCCGGGUGUGCCAAGGAGGUCUGUUCUACCCCCUGCCCCUGCGAGGACAGAAAAUCUCCUGCCUGGCUCGCCAUGAUGAAACACGGAUGAAAAUCAAACCCUACAAUUUUAAUAAAGAUUUGUAGGGAAUGGGAAAAUCCCCAUUCCCUGUUUCCUUGUGGCUGCAGCCUGGAACAUCCACUCAGAAUGAUGAACUUUCUGACAGCCCUGCUGAAUGACACCAGGACAAGGUUGGUGAGAAAGGGAGGAAAAUGUGUUUUGAUAGGAAAUUACAAAAUUA